rnacentral:rRNA from 1 species
GGGGGCCUACGGGAGGGAGCCGUGGGGAAUAUUGGACAAUGGGCGCAAGCCUGAUCCAGCCAUGCCGCGUGUGUGAAGAAGGCCUUCGGGUUGUAAAGCACUUUCAGCGAGGAGGAAGGCAUCAUACUUAAUACGUGUGGUGAUUGACGUUACUCGCAGAAUAAGCACCGGCUAACUCUGUGCCAGCAGCCGCGGUAAU